AAAAACAUGGCCUUUUGAUUUAUGUGUAAUAUAAAAGGUUGGACCUGCCCAGUGGUUUAUCUAAAUGGCUGCAGUGAAUAACUGUACAAAGGUAGCGAAAUCAGUUGUCCUUUAAAUGGGGGAAGGUAUGAAAGGUUUGACGGUAAAGAAGCUGUCUCUUAAAAAUAGUGUGAAGUUUCCGUCUAAGUGAAAAGGCUUAGAUUUUUUAAAAAGACGAGAAGACCCUAUUGAGCUUAAUUAUAUUUUUUUUAUUAAGAAAGUUGAAGUUUUAUUGGGGCAAUAGGAAGCUAUAAGUAAUGCUUCUUUUUAAGGUAAGGAUCCUCCAUGGGAGAAGUAAGCAAAAGUUACCAUAGGGAUAACAGCGUUAUCUUUCUUAAGAGUUCUAAUUGAGGGAAAGGUUUGCGACCUCGAUGUUGGAUUAAGAUGUCUUUUUGGUGCAGCAGCUAAA
rnacentral:rRNA from 1 species